rnacentral:rRNA from 1 species
CCUACGGGAGGCAGCAGUGAGGAAUAUUGGUCAAUGGGCGCGAGCCUGAACCAGCCAAGUCGCGUGAGGGAAGACGGUCCUAUGGAUUGUAAACCUCUUUUGUCGGGGAGCAAAAGACGCCACGCGUGGCGUUCCGAGAGUACCCGAAGAAAAAGCAUCGGCUAACUCCGUGCCAGCAGCCGCGGUAAUACGGAGGAUGCGAGCGUUAUCCGGAUUUACUGGGUGUAAAGGGAGCGUAGACGGCAGCGCAAGUCUGAAGUGAAAUGCCGGGGCUUAACCCCGGAACUGCUUUGGAAACUGUGCAGCUAGAGUGCAGGAGAGGUAAGUGGAAUUCCUAGUGUAGCGGUGAAAUGCUUAGAUAUCAGGAGGAACAUCGGUGGCGUAAGCGCUUUACUGGGCCGUAAUUGACGCUGAGGAACGAAAGCCAGGGUAGCAAAUGGGAUUAGAUACCCCUGUAGUC